rnacentral:rRNA from 1 species
GUAGGGUGCGAGCGUUAAUCGGAAUUACUGGGCGUAAAGCGUGCGCAGGCGGUUGUGUAAGACAGGUGUGAAAUCCCCGGGCUUAACCUGGGAACUGCGCUUGUGACUGCACAGCUAGAGUAUGGCAGAGGGGGGUGGAAUUCCACGUGUAGCAGUGAAAUGCGUAGAGAUGUGGAGGAACACCGAUGGCGAAGGCAGCCCCCUGGGCCAAUACUGACGCUUAUGCACGAAAGCGUGGGGAGCAAACAGGAUUAGAUACCCUGGUAGUCCACGCCCUAAACGAUGUCGACUAGGUGUUCGGUGAGGAGACUCAUUGAGUACCGCAGCUAACGCGUGAAGUCGACCGCCUGGGGAGU